AUUGAACGCUGGCGGAAUGCUUUACACAUGCAAGUCGAACGGCAGCACGGGGGCAACCCUGGUGGCGAGUGGCGAACGGGUGAGUAAUACAUCGGAACGUGCCCAGUCGUGGGGGAUAACGUAGCGAAAGUUACGCUAAUACCGCAUACGAUCUACGGAUGAAAGCGGGGGACCGUAAGGCCUCGCGCGAUUGGAGCGGCCGAUGUCAGAGUAGGUAGUUGGUGAGGUAAAGGCUCACCAAGCCGACGAUCUGUAGCUGGUCUGAGAGGACGACCAGCCACACUGGGACUGAGACACGGCCCAGGCUCCUACGGGAGGCAGCAGUGGGGAAUUUUGGACAAUGGGCGCAAGCCUGAUCCAGCCAUUCCGCGUGCAGGACGAAGGCCUUCGGGUUGUAAACUGCUUUUGUACGGAACGAAAAGGCUCUGGUUAAUACCUGGGGCUCAUGACGGUACCGUAAGAAUAAGCACCGGCUAACUACGUGCCAGCCGCCGCAGUAA
rnacentral:rRNA from 1 species